GGGGGGGGGGGGGGGGGGGCCGUGGGGGGGCGGGGGGGGCGGGGGCGCGGGGGCUUGCGCCUGGUGGCGAGUGGCGAGCGGGUGAGUGAUACAUCGGAACAUGGCCUGUAGUGGGGGAGAGCCCGGAGGAGGCCGGAUCAAUACCGCAGACGAUCUACUGAUGGACGCGGGGUCCCUUCGGUCCUCGCGCGGUCGGGUUGGCCGAUGACUGGUUAGCUCAUUUGGGGGGUAAAGGCCUACCAAGGCGAAGGUCAUGAGCUGGUCUGAGCGGCCGACCAGCCACACUGGGACUGAGACACGGCCCAGACUCCUACGGGAGGCAGCAGUGUGGAAUUUUGGACAAUGGGCGAAAGCCUGAUCCAGCAAUGCCGCGUGUGUGAAGAAGGCCUUCGGGUUGUAAAGCACUUUUGUCCGGAAAGAAAUCCUUGGCCCUAAUACGGUCGGGGGAUGACGGUACCGGAAGAAUAAGCACCGGCUAACUACGUG
rnacentral:rRNA from 1 species